rnacentral:rRNA from 1 species
GACGAACGCUGGCGGCGUGCCUAAUACAUGCAAGUCGAACGCUUUUUCUUUCACCGGAGCUUGCUCCAUCGAAAGAAAAAGAGUGGCGAACGGGUGAGUAACACGUGGGUAACCUGCCCAUCAGAAGGGGAUAACACUUGGAAACAGGUGCUAAUACCGUAUAACACUAUUUUCCGCAUGGAAGAAAGUUGAAAGGCGCUUUUGCGUCACUGAUGGAUGGACCCGCGGUGCAUUAGCUAGUUGGUGAGGUAACGGCUCACCAAGGCAACGAUGCAUAGCCGACCUGAGAGGGUGAUCGGCCACACUGGGACUGAGACACGGCCCAGACUCCUACGGGAGGCAGCAGUAGGGAAUCUUCGGCAAUGGACGAAAGUCAGACCGAGCAACGCCGCGUGAGUGAAGAAGGUUUUCGGAUCGUAAAACUCUGUUGUUAGAGAAGAACAAGGAUGAGAGUAAAAUGUUCAUCCCUUGACGGUAUCUAACCAGAAAGCCACGGCUAACUACGUGCCAGCCGCCGCAGUAA